GACGUAGGGCGCGAGCGUUGUCCGGAGUUAUUGGGCGUAAAGAGCUCGUAGGCGGUCUGUCGCGUCUGCUGUGAAAACUCGGGGCUUAACCCCGGGCCUGCAGUGGGUACGGGCAGACUAGAGUGCGGUAGGGGAGACUGGAAUUCCUGGUGUAGCGGUGAAAUGCGCAGAUAUCAGGAGGAACACCGGUGGCGAAGGCGGGUCUCUGGGCCGUAACUGACGCUGAGGAGCGAAAGCAUGGGGAGCGAACAGG
rnacentral:rRNA from 1 species